GUGUGUGUAGGUGCGCGCGCUAAAUUUGUUGUCGGUUGUCAUUGACAACGGCCAGCUAUGACUGGUGCGGCGUCCGUGACAUUCAUUUCAAUCGGAGUUUGCUUGGAUCAUCUGACACACGUAAAUCGCCCCAGGUCAAUCAAACUUUCAAGCAGAAGGAUUCUAGCUGUUAUAACAAUCUGUAUUUUUGGAGGUACCAGAAUGUUCCCUGAUUGUUUCAGUGUCCCAGUGAACCUUAAAGGAGAUGACUAACAACUACAGGCAGAACAAAAUCCCUAUAGUAGUAUACUGAAUGCUACUGGAGCCCACUGAAUUCUACUGUCCCUUACAGGGGCCCACUAAACCCUACACCAACUGUCCCCUAUAGAAAUACCCAAUCUCUCACAGCAGCACACUGGCUUGUACAGGGGUCCACUGUCCCCUACGCGAACAUACUAGCCCAUGCAAGGGUACACUACCCUCUACAUCAACUGUCCCUUAUAGCAACCUACUGUGACCUAGAGAAGCAUACUGACCCCUACAGGAGCUCACUGAGCCCUAUGCUCAUUGUCCCCCCUCCCCUUAUCCCUGUCCCUACCUUAUAAAAACUUUACUCCAAAUCCAUCCUUCAGGAACUCGGUGACCACCCCACCUCUCCACCUCUCCACCAGCCAACAUCUGCUGAACCUUAGAGGAACCCACUGACCACUACUAUAACUCUUACAAGAGUUUUUCUGACCCCCAUCUAUAAACCUAUGCACCUAGAAGAAUCCAUAAAGGGCCAUAUAGAGCAGAAGGUCACUAAACACUGUAGUAACUAACUGACCCCCACCCCAUACAGGAAACCAUUGAGUGUUACCGGAGUCUGGUGACCCCUAACAGUAAACACCAAGCACCGAGAGAAGAUGAUAGAAGGCCCUAUAAGGAUCUAUAGACAGUCGGACAGUGCUGGAGGUUACUGACUACUGCUGUAACUGACCCACUGACCCCUAAAUGUUACAGGUGGCUGCUGGCCCUUGCAGUAAACCACAGUCGCAUAGAGGAGUCCUACAGGGCAGGAGGUCCUUCAGGGGCCAUACAGUACGGGUGACCACUGAUCACCAACAACAGUAAACCACAAGUGCCAAGAGUAUUUUAUAGGAGGGGGGGCCGCACAGUACAGGAACUGACCGCCAGAUUCUGACCACCAAACAAGACCCCCAAGGAAUUCUUCCCAUCCAACUAUCAUAGCAGCAAAACUCCCUCUUUUCCCUUUUGUCAUAGAAUCAUUGAUAAUGGGAGAAAUGGUGGUGAAUGUGUUAGCGUAUUAGUAGUAGUAUUAGUAGUAGUAGUAGUAGUAGUAGUAGUAGUAGUAGUAGUAGUAGCAGCA